rnacentral:rRNA from 1 species
UAUGUGAUCGUCUCUCGCAUAUCAAUAAGCGGAGGAAAAGAAACUAACAAGGAUUCCCCUAGUAACGGCGAGUGAAGCGGGAAGAGCUCAAAUUUGAAAUCUUAAAGGGUUUCCCUUUACGAAUUGUAGUUUAAAGAAGUGUUUUCUGUUGAGGUUUUGGUAAAAGUUCUUUGGAAUAGGACAUCAUAGAGGGUGAGAAUCCCGUAUUUGACCUUUACUUUCAACUUUGUGAUACACUUUCAAAGAGUCGGAUUGUUUGGGAAUGCAGUCCAAAAUGGGUGGUAAAUUUCAUCUAAAGCUAAAUAUUGGCGAGAGACCGAUAGCGAACAAGUACCGUGAGGGAAAGAUGAAAAGAACUUUGAAAAGAGAGUUAAACAGUACGUGAAAUUGUCAAAAGGGAAGCGUUUGACACCAGUGUUGUUUUUCUGAAAAUCAAUUAAAGAACUGUUUAUGCUAAGUUGUUUAGACUUUAUCAGCUAACUGCUUAGUUUUGAGCUUUUCUUUAAUGCACUUUUCAGUUAACAAGUCAACAUCAAUUUCUUUUGCUGUAAAAAAGCUUGAGGAAGGUGGCUUGAGAUUCGUCUUAAGUGUUUAUAGCCUCUUGCCUAUGCAGUCGGAGAGAUUGAGGUCUGCAGCGUAGAUCCUUCGGGGCUAAAUGCAUUUGUGCUAAGUUAUAGCAUUUUAUAGACAACUUGUUGACUAUGAUUUGUCUUGUAGCUCACUCGCUUAUGUUAUUUUACCUACGCUUAGGAUGUUGAGUAGCGACAUACGCAC